AACGGAGGGGGCAAGUGUUACUCGUAAGGACUGGGCGUAAAGGGUGCGUAGGCGGCCCGGUAAGUCCGUUGUGAAAGUCAAAGGCUCAACCUUUGAACGCCGAUGGAUACUGCCGGGCUAGAGUCCGGAAGAGGCGAGUGGAAUUCCUGGUGUAGCGGUGGAAUGCGCAGAUAUCAGGAGGAACACCGAUAGCGAAGGCAGCUCGCUGGGACGGUACUGACGCUGAGGCGCGAAAGCGUGGGGAGCGAACAGG
rnacentral:rRNA from 1 species